rnacentral:misc_RNA from 1 species
AAAUUACUCAAUUGUCUUUUCAUGUUACGUUAGAAGUGACAAGUAAAAGUAAUUUAUUUUUUUUGGGAACAGUAAAAGUGAACAUAGGGAGUAUGUUCAUUUCUGUUUCAAUUAUGUAAUAUGUGUUAAUUUGUUAUUAUAUUUUUUGGGAUGCAUGUGAAAUGUUGUGAUUUCUUUUUAUAGAAUAAGUGGUAUUUGGAAACUAGGUUGUAGGAAA